AAGUCGUAACAAGGUAACCGUAGGUGAACCUGCGGUUGGAUCAUUAUUAAAUUUAAAAUUGAAUGUUGUUGGUUAUUUUUUUAACCUCAACAUUUCAAACCAAAAUGUGAAUUUUAAAAUGUCUCUGAUGGGUUAAAACAUUUUAAAUUUAUUUAAAAUGGGACUUUAUUGUCUACCCAUCACUUUAUAUAAACCAAGUAUUUCUAUAUUGCCAAAAACUAUUUUUAAAUUUUAAAUUUAAAAAACAACUUUUGACAACGGAUCUCUUGGCUCUC
rnacentral:misc_RNA from 1 species